rnacentral:rRNA from 1 species
UUUAAUUGAAGAGUUUGAUCAUGGCUCAGAUUGAACGCUGGCGGCAGGCCUAACACAUGCAAGUCGAGCGGCAGCACAGAGGAACUUGUUCCUUGGGUGGCGAGCGGCGGACGGGUGAGUAAUGCCUGGGAAAUUGCCCGGUAGAGGGGAUAACCAUUGGAAACGAUGGCUAAUACCGCAUAACCUCGUAAGAGCAAAGCAGGGACCUUCGGGCCUUG